rnacentral:rRNA from 1 species
AGAGUUUGAUCAUGGCUCAGAACGAACGCUGGCGGCGUGCUUAACACAUGCAAGUCGUACGAGAAAGCUUACUUCGGUGAGCGAGUAAAGUGGCGCACGGGUGAGUAACACGUGGGUAACCUACCCUCCGAACUGGGAUAACAUCUCGAAAGAGGUGCUAAUACCGGAUACGUCCUUUUUUCCUUCGGGAGAAAAGGGGAAAGAUGGCCUCUGCUUGCAUGCUAUCAUCGGUGGAUGGGCCCGCGGGCCAUUAGCUUGUUGGUAGGGUAACGGCCUACCAAGGCUACGAUGGCUAGCUGGUCUGAGAGGAUGAUCAGCCACACUGGAACUGGAACACGGUCCAGACUCCUACGGGAGGCAGCAGUGGGGAAUAUUGCGCAAUGGGGGAAACCCUGACGCAGCAACGCCGCGUGAGUGAUGAAGGCCUUCGGGUCGUAAAGCUCUGUCAGAGGGGAAGAAGGGUUCAAUGGCUAAUACCUGUUGAGCUUUGACGGUACCCUCAGAGGAAGCACCGGCUAACUCCGUGCCAGCAGCCGCGGUAAUACGGAGGGUGCAAGCGUUGUUCGGAAUCACUGGGCGUAAAGGGCGCGUAGGCGGCUGUUUAAGUCAGAUGUGAAAGCCCCCGGCUUAACCGGGGAACUGCAUUUGAAACUGGACGGCUUGAGUACGGGAGAGGGAAGUGGAAUUCCUGGUGUAGAGGUGAAAUUCGUAGAUAUCAGGAGGAACACCGGUGGCGAAGGCGGCUUCCUGGACCGAUACUGACGCUGAGGCGCGAAAGCGUGGGUAGCAAACAGGAUUAGA